UACGGGGGGUGCAAGCGUUAUUCGGAAUUACUGGGCGUAAAGGGUCUGUAGGUGGUAUGAUAAGUCAGGUGUGAAAGCCCAGGGCUCAACCUUGGAACUGCAUUUGAUACUGUCAUACUAGAGUACGGUAGAGGAAUGGGGAAUUUCUGGUGUAGCGGUGAAAUGCGCAGAGAUCAGAAGGAACAUCAAUGGCGAAGGCAACAUUCUGGACUGAUACUGACACUGAGGGACGAAAGCAUGGGGAUCAAACAGG
rnacentral:rRNA from 1 species